AUUGAACGCUGGCGGCAGGCCUAACACAUGCAAGUCGAACGGUAACAGGAAACAGCUUGCUGUUUCGCUGACGAGUGGCGGACGGGUGAGUAAUGUCUGGGAAACUGCCUGAUGGAGGGGGAUAACUACUGGAAACGGUAGCUAAUACCGCAUAACGUCGCAAGACCAAAGAGGGGGACCUUCGGGCCUCUUGCCAUCGGAUGUGCCCAGAUGGGAUUAGCUUGUUGGUGGGGUAACGGCUCACCAAGGCGACGAUCCCUAGCUGGUCUGAGAGGAUGACCAGCCACACUGGAACUGAGACACGGUCCAGACUCCUACGGGAGGCAGCAGUGGGGAAUAUUGCACAAUGGGCGCAAGCCUGAUGCAGCCAUGCCGCGUGUAUGAAGAAGGCCUUCGGGUUGUAAAGUACUUUCAGCGGGGAGGAAGGGAGUAAAGUUAAUACCUUUGCUCAUUGACGUUACCCGCAGAAGAAGCACCGGCUAACUCCGU
rnacentral:rRNA from 1 species